rnacentral:rRNA from 1 species
UACGGAGGGGGCUAGCGUUGUUCGGAAUCACUGGGCGUAAAGCGCGCGUAGGCGGACCAUUAAGUCGGGGGUGAAAUCCCGGGGCUCAACCCCGGAACGGCCUUCGAUACUGGCGGUCUCGAGGUCGAGAGAGGCGAGUGGAAUUCCGAGUGUAGAGGUGAAAUUCGUAGAUAUUCGGAGGAACACCAGUGGCGAAGGCGGCUCGCUGGCUCGAUUCUGACGCUGAGGCGCGAAAGCGUGGGGAGCAAACAGG